rnacentral:ncRNA from 2 species
UACAGAGGGUGCAAGCGUUAAUCGGAAUUACUGGGCGUAAAGCGCGCGUAGGUGGCUAAGUAAGAUGGGUGUGAAAUCCCCGGGCUCAACCUGGGAACUGCAUCCAUAACUGCUUGGCUAGAGUACGGUAGAGGGUAGUGGAAUUUCCUGUGUAGCGGUGAAAUGCGUAGAUAUAGGAAGGAACACCAGUGGCGAAGGCGACUACCUGGACUGAUACUGACACUGAGGUGCGAAAGCGUGGGGAGCAAACAGG